CCUACGGCGGCUGCAGUGGGGAAUAUUGGACAAUGGGCGAAAGCCUGAUCCAGCCAUGCCGCGUGUGUGAAGAAGGCCUUCGGGUUGUAAAGCACUUUCAGUGGGGAAGAAAGCCUUGGGGCUAAUACCCUCGAGGAAGGACAUCACCCACAGAAGAAGCACCGGCUAACUCCGUGCCAGCAGCCGCGGUAAUACGGAGGGUGCGAGCGUUAAUCGGAAUUACUGGGCGUAAAGCGCGCGUAGGCGGUCUGAUAAGCCGGUUGUGAAAGCCCCGGGCUCAACCUGGGAACGGCAUCCGGAACUGUCAGGCUAGAGUGCAGGAGAGGAAGGUAGAAUUCCCGGUGUAGCGGUGAAAUGCGUAGAGAUCGGGAGGAAUACCAGUGGCGAAGGCGGCCUUCUGGACUGACACUGACGCUGAGGUGCGAAAGCGUGGGUAGCAAACAGGAUUAGAUACCCCGGUAGUC
rnacentral:rRNA from 1 species